AGCCAGACUCCUACGGGAGGCAGCAGUGGGGAAUAUUGGGCAAUGGGCGCAAGCCUGACCCAGCAACGCCGCGUGAAGGAAGAAGGCUUUCGGGUUGUAAACUUCUUUUGACAGGGAAGAGCAGAAGACGGUACCUGUCGAAUAAGCCACGGCUAACUACGUGCCAGCAGCCGCGGUAAUACGUAGGGGGCGAGCGUUAUCCGGAUUCACUGGGUGUAAAGGGAGCGUAGACGGCCAAGCAAGCCAGGGGUGAAAGCCCGGGGCCCAACCCCGGGACUGCCCUUGGAACUGCAUGGCUGGAGUGCGGGAGGGGCAGGCGGAAUUCCUGGUGUAGCGGUGAAAUGCGUAGAUAUCAGGAGGAACACCGGUGGCGAAGGCGGCCUGCUGGACUGCAACUGACGUUGAGGCCCGAAAGCGUGGGGAGCAAACAGGAUUAGAUACCCCUGUACCC
rnacentral:rRNA from 1 species